rnacentral:misc_RNA from 1 species
GAUGAAGAACGUAGCGAAAUGCGAUAAGUAAUGUGAAUUGCAGAAUUCAGUGAAUCAUCGAAUCUUUGAACGCACAUUGCGCCCGCCAGUAUUCUGGCGGGCAUGCCUGUUCGAGCGUCAUUUCAACCAUCAAGCCCCCGGCUUGUGUUGGGGACCUGCGGCUGCCGCAGGCCCUGAAAACCAGUGGCGGGCUCGCUAGUCACUCCGAGCGUAGUAAUACAUCUCGCUCAGGGCGUGCUGCGGGUUCCGGCCGUUAAAAAGCCUUAUUUACCCAAGGUUGACCUCGGAUCAGGUAGGAAGACCCGCUGAACUUAAGCAUAUCAAUGAGCGGAGGA